rnacentral:lncRNA from 1 species
AAUAGACAUAACUUAUUAAUAUAAAUUUUAUAUGAUUUUACGAAGGAAAAUAUAUUCUUGUUAUUCAAUAACAAUUUCUAUGAGGCGAGAGAAAAAAAUAUCGGGUCUUCUUAUCAUAAAUGUCUUCUUAUCAAGAAUUAGAAUUUUGAAUACUAUAUUAUUAUCAAAAUGGUCAUAUAUAUUGUAUUCUUAUUUAAUACGAUAUUAAAUCAUUAGUAUGAUAUUAAAAUAAAAAUAUAAUAUUUUGCUGAAAAAUUUAAAAUUAUCAAAAUUUACAAAAAUUAAAUUACAUAAAAGUAAGAAUGUAAUUUCUUGCAUAUCUAUAAAACAAUUAAUGAUUGUUAAGUAAAAUAUAUUAAUCUUAAUUUCGUACUAAUAUUUAAUUUUGUUUUAACCGCGCAUAAAAAUAAAACCGCGCAAAGAAAGUUGUUGCGUAAAUCACGAAAUAAAUGUACACAAUUACGUGCUUCCGACAUUAAAAUAAUAUGAUUAUGUGAUAUACCAAAACAUUGUCUCGCCUGUUAUGUGUCGCGCAUUUACAUAUGUCCGCAUUAAUUAGAGAGCCAAAUAUUCUACAGAAAUAAUUGCAGAAUGAUAAACAAGCGUCGAUUAGCGGAAAGUUUUUCCGGUAAAAUACACAGAACGAUAACGUUUUCGAAAACUUUGUGUAAGAAAAAUAAUCCCCACAUCAAAAUGUUUUCUCGCAAAAUCUUUUUGCGCAUGAAGAAGCGUGAGGAUAUCGGAGGAUAAAUCAAGAGAUUGAUGUACUUAUAUACGUGAAAAGAACGGCUUAGUGGCUUUAAAAAGACGUUGUGAUAUGAAAUCCAAUGGCAUAUUUUUUGCUAGUCGUAAACUGCACAUUUGCAUAUGUCCGCAUUAAUUACACAGUUGAAUGCACAUGCGGGAAAUUAUGGGAGAGUAAACCUGUUCCCCAAUUCACGUGGAGGAUUCUUUUUCGAGAAAAAAUUUCAAAAAAAGAGAAAAUUAAAAAAAAAGUCUAUACAGUAAUCCGCGUACUAUAUUAAAUUAAGAAUUUUUAACCGUAAAACUUAAACCGUACGCAGAAGAGAUAUAUUAUAUGUAUAAAUCGAUGAAUACACACGUGCGUGACGCAUUAUUUUUCAUUCUAUUUUUAUGCUCUCAAUUACAUUUUUAUUCGAUCUAUUUCAAAACUGAAAGUUUAGUUCUGUAAAUCAUACACAUAUUCAAUCCAUAACACAAUUUUCCUCUUUUUAAUUAUAUCUCUAUCUCUAAAAGUUUCUGGAAUAUAUUUUUAAUUAUUUCCGUCUCACUAAUAAUCUGUCACUGAAACAGUAUUUAAUUCGCUGGAUAAUAUCCAAGUAACACGGGUAGAACGUCCGGUUGCCCCGACACACCUUGUAUACAGGAAGUAGCUAUGAACGCGACGCAUACACCCAGGUGCAUUAAUUCGCUUGGUGCAAACGCACUGAAUGCACCGCUCCGUAUAGCCCGAUUACGUUUACUGGACUCGUGAGCUCAUUCGAGCUGCAUCUGCAACGAGCGAAUUGCAUUCACUGAGUUGUACACACGUGCUGAUGUCCAUAGACGCGUAAAUCGAUGCAUCAACGCGACGCCGACACGUCUCGCGAAAAUAAAAGCUCUCACUGAGCUCUCGCAGUCAUUACCGUGUUGAGUGUUAUGGAUCUGAGUGCUACCUUACGUGAUGAAUAGGGCUGUCAAGAUACUUUGAGUCGAGUAAAGUUUGCCGCCGCGUUUUCCUCAUCGGGAGAUACGGAGAAUGAGAAAUUAUGAAACAGAAUAAUAGAGUCGUCCGCACACACAUUGUAUAUACAAUACGUCUCUCCUGUCCAUAAUACAUGUAUAUAUGGGGAAUAAAAUCUAAAAUCUAAUAAAUUAUUUUGUUAUCACCCAUACGGCUGCUUUAAAUUGUUCGAAAUCAUUUCGCGAUUAGACACCACAGGUUUUCGUCAUUUAAUAAGUAAUUAUUGUCUCGUUGUUAUUUUACGCGCGUUUGAAAAUCGACAAUGUUGAUCGCUAUGCCGUGAUCGUGAAACCGAAGUAGAAAGAAAUUGUAGCUUUGUGACUAUCGGUGCAACAAUCUUAUCAGCUAUAAGAGGACUUCAAGGGGCGAGAGGAACUAGAUCAUUCUGCGGGUAGUAAGACUUUACUCGGAGAAGCGUACAGCUCGCGCUGAAAACGGCAAAGAAGGCACAAGACUCUCCUCCAGGAUUGGAGAAAUCCAUGGAGCGAAAGAGAAAGAGAGGACCACCUCGCUCUUUCCUUCCCGUCCUCAUCUCGCCCGCGAUUUUCCUCUCACCCGUUGUGUGUCACCUCUCUCCCUUCGGUGCCGCCAUAUCCCUUCGAUUCCUCCCCUCGUGGGAAUAUACAUCUCCGGUGGAUUUUUAUCUCCCGUAGCGGGAAAAGGCGACGGAAAGGUGCAGCCGCAAACGUACCAUUGUGGGCAUCGUAUCUGCCGAAUGUUGACGGCGUACAGUGUGUGACAAGUGAUAUCGAACGAUUCGAUGAAUACAGAAAAAAAAGUAAAAAGGAAAGGCAACUAAAUCCUAUAACACGUAACAGAUAUAUCGUAAACGCAUUCACAUCAAACUGUGAUUAUUUAUCAAACAGGUGACUUUACUAUAAAUAAUAUGACUUAAAAACCGUGAUGAUCUACAUCUAACUAAAGUUUCAGUUGCGAGUUAAGUCUGACAACCAUCGGCACGCAGUUUCAUCGAAUUAAAGAUUGUGUUUUAGAGGGAGAAAAAAUAAUUGGGAAAAUAAAGAAAAAAGAAAGAAGAAAGUAGCGGUAGUAGAAAGUAUAAGGAGAAGGAAAUAAGUAGGAAUUUUAAUAAGUAUAGGUUGAAAAAAGACUGAAGAGAUUAUUUGUACAAUGAAAUAUAUUAUGUUAUGUUUAGCUUAUUAUGAUAUUAGGUUAAUAUGUUGUGAUAGAAAUAUCUAUAAAGAGUCAAGAGACAAUUAAGAAGUAUAGUAAAUAAGUAUAGAUAAGAUUUUUAAGUCGGAAAGAAGACUGUGAGGACAAUGGUGCGAUAUAAGAUAUAUUAUGCUUAGGUUGUUAUAUUAUUAGAUUAAUAUAUUGUAAUGAUAUAAAUAUCUACAGAUAUUCAAGAAGUAAUUAAGAUUACAGAGAGAAUUUGGAAAGGAAAGUUCAGGGAGGCAAGAGAUCAAAACAAAGAUAUUAUAAACUGGAUAGAUAAGAUAGAAAAAUAAAUAGAAGAAUGAAUGUGUUAGAUAUGGUAAACCAAGUCCCCUUUUUGGCUUUGAUGCUAAAGAGAAUAAAGAUUAUUAUUAAAGAUUGUGUUUUGUAACUGACAUGAAAAUAUAAUUAAGCAUCAAGAUCCGUUUCGACCGAAAUAUGGCGGCACUUCUUAUUUGUAUUAACAGUAUAUCAUUCUGAUAAGCAACUUAUUAAUACAUAAAUAAACUAUAAGAAUUGGUUAUAUAUUUAGAAUAUGUUUACAUUCAAAAAAAAAAAUAAAUAAAGAAAGAACCUAAUGGAUUAAUUCGGUUAAUUUGAUGAGAGGCCAUGAUUAAGAGAGGAUACACGGGGUAAUCGAUACAUCGAUCGCACGCGGAUUGCGCGCGAAAAGCAGGAAGCUAUCUGUUUCCGGAAACAGGUAUUUGCACUUAGGCCUCUCUUGCGGUUCUUCCGUCUCUUCGGCCCGGUCGCGUUGUGUAUCGUAAACGUCACGAAAUCCUGAUAGCAAGUGGAAGGAGAAUGCGUGCUCGUCAAAGCAGCACGGGCAAAAGCCGACACGAAAGCGAUACGAAGAUCCAUGGCGUUUAAUAUCGAAUGAAAAGGAGUGCCAUUUGAUACAGUUAAUCCCGCUAACACAGUUCAGUUGCUCCAAAUAUCAGUUACGUUACAUCGUUAGCUAAUUAGACCAAGAGCUUUCUCAGCUCAACAUCAACUUUUUUAAUAACUCGAUAAAAGCUUCAUCGGUUAAUUCUUAAUUAACACUUGUUGAGGAAAUCUGUUAAAUAAAUGCUAACGAUUUAUCUCGCAGUGUAAUUAUGAAAAUUAUCCAAGCGAACGAAAGAUAUUAAAAAUACUUCGAUUUCCGAUAUCAGUUUUCUUUCGAAAGGAACGGAGAACGCCAAGAACAAUGUUGUUUUUUUUUUUACAUUAAAAGUAUAAAAAAGAUUGCGCUCGGCAUUUGCGAUUUAUUCGUGCAGCGAAUCGCUUAUAUCUGUGCUCGAUUGUAUUAUUGUGCAGCACGGCCGUCGCGCGCGCUGCAACUCCGAACGGGCGUCAUGUAUAACGCAACGUUCAAAGUGUCAAAGAGUUAAUGCCGUCGAAGAUCGCCACGGACGUGUUCAGCAAUGAAAUUAGCAUACGAUCGAAUCAGCAGCUCGCUGUCAUCGCGCGUUGACCGAUUGUAAGUGUUGCAGUGUGUAGGGGCGUAUACGCCUUUGGUAUUUAGCGCUGACGUCUGGCGCAUACCGAGGCAAAUGUGAAAACGAUACUUGCGUGACGCUCGGAUUCGCGUCCGCCUAUCAAUACACGACAGCUAUAGAUAUUUGUAUGCAUUAUGGAAUUCCAGUGUCUACGGAGCGGAUAUACGCGCCUAGAUAGAAUGCUGCGAUAAUACCCAUAAGCCUACGGUAAAGAAACACUGUGCUGGCGCGAAGGCAAAUGUCAUUAAAAUUCACCAUCACGCCUCGCAACUUAUUUAUUCAUUCAAAUUAUCUAUCGAUUACUUUGAGCUUAUCGUCUUACGAGACACCGCAUCAAUUAGAAAAAUUUCUAUGCACAUUUUUUUUUUCAAAUAGAGAUAGAGAGACUAAUUAAUUAAUCAAUAAUGAUUAAUAAAUUGCUUUCUUUUUAUCAAUGCAAUUAAAGUUGAUAGAAAAUUGGAUUUUGUUGCAAUUUUUUAAUUUGUUGUCAUUUCAUUUGCACUCAGCAUUGACCUGUUAAAAAAUAUACAACUAAAGUAAAGUAAAAAUAAAGUAUUCUAAAUCACAAUUUGUAAUAUAUGUCUGAUAUUAAUAAUAUAUGUCUGAUGGUAAUAUAUGUCUAUGAUUAAGAUCAUUAAACAAUAUUUGACAAUUAACGUUAAAAAAUUUGAAAAAAGUUAUUAUUAAAAUUAUCUUUCUUAUACACGUAUAACAAAACGUUUAUUUUAAAGAUUGUUAAUGGAUUAAGCAAAUGCAGUUCGACUUUUUGCAUCCCACAGCCUAUCGUAAUUGCGAUAAAAGGUGGUUUAUACCUCUUCCGACUACAACUGCAACGUCCAUUUCCAACGUGCUAAUGGGUACAUUCCAUCAUGGUCGAACAUGGGUCAAAAUUGCACUCGGGAACGUUCAAAUAACUUGAAAUUUGCUGUCGGAAGAGUAAAUCGCUAGUGAAUUCUGUGGCAUUAGGUGGAAUUAUCGGGCUUAGGCUAUUAUUUACUGUAAAUAACAACACAGUAAUACCUGUUUAAGCAAUGGGCGUUAAUCUUUUGGUCAGGGAUAUUAUGGUAUUACUUAACGAAAAUUAUAAUUCCCGUUUCAAAGCAAUCAUUGUUUUAGGAAUUGGUCACCGAAUUUUCUUUAACUUUUUAACUUUCAAAUAAAUAUAUCAAAUAAUAAAUAGAGACUAAUAAAAAUCGUAUGUAAUAAUAAAAUAUUAGAGAAAAUUAAUAACUCUAUUCAAUGUUUAGCGUUUAGAUUAUUGCAAAUAAAGAAAUUUAUAAAAGAUACUGCAAGCUUUAAAUAAAAACUAUAUUCAGGGUCGGUGUGUCUUUAUUUAUUUUAAAAAAAUGAUAGUGUUUACCUGAUAGGCAAGUUUCCCAAGAAGUUAAAACAACCGGCCCUUAGUGUUGCAUUUUAUUACACUCUCACCGAUGACUAUUUACUUUAAUACAACAUGCGUUUCGGUUUACAAAAUCAAAUAAUAAUAUAUUUUGUUAAUUUCUGUUAAUAAAAUUUAAUAUUUGUUUGCUCAUAAAUCCAAGAAAUAAUUUGUUUAAAUUGUUUAUCAAUUUAUAAUAUAAGGCAAGCAAUUGUUUCAUAUUUGUCAAAUAAAGUUGAAAACGGAAUUCCGGCAAACAGGAAGUGAAAUCAUCGCCUUGGGGCCUCAGUACGCUUUUUUCUCAUUUUUCGAGAGAAAUUGUUUUAAUCUUCUUUCCAAAGUUAAAAGUAUAUUUCUAAUUCAAUGCAUCGAAGCUUAACAGAAAAACGAUCAACUUUUUGCAUCAAUCUAAUUUAACGGUAUUAUUGAAAUAGAUUACGUCUGUAAGACGGGCAUAUGAACGCAUACGAACAACGCACGAAACGAGAAAGCAAAUAGAAUUCGAUUCGCGUUCAGUCUGAUUCAUUCAUGAUGGUACGUCAAAGAAAGUUCCGAAUAAAUUUAAUUUCACGUUUGCUAUUCACACUCGUUGCCUGUUCGUUGCCAUUCGUAUGUAUGUGUGCACCAUCUUAAUGUCCGCACACUGCAACACAGCCUUAAUACCCGCACAUUGUAGAGAAUUAGUGUACAUACGUUUGGUCAGCGGUUUAACCCUUUGUGCUCAUUGUUCUCACGAGGUAGAUCAACACGUUCUACACGUGCAGUCAGCACACAUCGAGAUAAUUACUUUUCUUAAUUAAGGAGCAACAUCGAAAUAUAGGCGAUGUUAGCAUUAUUAUUCAGUUCGCGGUUUCUCAUCGACGCAUUGGGUUUACUCGUGUGGAAGAAGGGCUCGAGAAAGAAAGAAAGGAAGAAGAGGGGGGGAAUUCACACGAAUCCGCCUCCGCCAUCAUCACCAUCAAGCAGAGAAGGGGGGAGAGAGAAGGGGAAGAUAGAGCAAAAGACCGAUGACGUGUGUCAUUAAAAACAUAUUUGCUUAUCUUGCUAGAUGCGGUAACGGCCGUUGGCGACCCCACACGAUCAUCGUGAUUCUAACUUUUUUACGACGAUAAUAAAGGUUCCUAUUACAUCUGAUUUGUGAGUUAUAUACUUGCCCUAUAUAAAAACUGUACAACAGAAUCUGUUUCAAGCAAAUGAAAAUUCGAUGCACAGCAAUGUUUUCGGUUAAACAAGCAGAAUUAUGCUGUUAAAGUUAACUCAAUUUUUAUAAUAAAACAAUGAAAUUUCCCCUCUCUCUUUCUCUCUCACGCUUUCUCCAUUUAGAAAAGACAUUAGUAAAUAUUCUUUCUCAGUCCUUUAAGAAAUUACAUGAAAAACCGUACGGUAAUUAAGUAACACGUUGGAAUAUAUCUGCUAAUUCCUACUAAUAAACUCAAUCUAGUUGUGUACCAAAAUUCCCCAGCGGUUAACCUCAGAGCUAUACGCGUCUAAUGCCUAAAGGCAGAGCACUAGUUAUGCCAGGUGCAUCCUUUGACUACGUAACUAUGAAGAUGCCACCGGUAGCGAUGUUCCAAUCUGUAUGCAACAUUUUAGUACUCUCGUGUCGCAGCAGCUAAAUAUGGAACGAGAUAACAUAUUCGCUUCUAUCUCGCUUGAAUACAUUUGAUCGGAACACAACGCGAAAAAUUUAAAAGUGUCGGGGAAAGUUAGGUAACGCUGGGUAACAGAUCUUAUCAAUAAAGUGUGAGGUCGCCGAUACUUCACAGAUACGUGAUCAAAGAAUGUAUCAUAUGCAGCUCUCCGAGAAUUUUUCAUAUCUGAGACAGUACAUACGUUUCGCUUGACACGAAUAGAGUUGUUCUAAAUUCUUUAUUAAAAAAAAAGAGAGACUUUUUAUAAGAUCGGUUUCCGCAUCUUCGCAUCCAAAUUCAAAAAAUGAGUUGCUAACUUGGCGAACAAUUUCCGUAAA